rnacentral:lncRNA from 1 species
CUUUACUAUAUGUAAAAAUCCUUCUGAUAUCUAGGUCACAGUGUCCUUGUCAGUAAAUUGAUAUUUAGGUCACAAACAAGUAAUAUUUAGGUCACAAACAAGUGAUAUUUAGGUCACAGUAACUUUUAUAAACAGUCAGUAAAUUGAUAUUUAGGACAGAGUAGAGACAAUGUUAUCCAUUUAUAAAAUAAAUCAUAUUACAGAAUGCUGCUGACUAAUAAACACUUUAAAACAACUAUUAAGAUUCACUCUUAUGCAGAAAAUUAAUGAACUCAGCAGACAACUAGAAAGAGGAUCACUCAUUGGAUGAUUUUAAGAUUCAGCAGACAACUAGAAAGAGGAUCACUCAUUGGAUGAUUGUAAGAUUCAGCAGACAAAUAGAAAGAGGAUCACUCAUUGGAUGAUUGUAAGAUUCAGAAGACAACUAGAAAGAGGAUCACUCAUUGGAUGAUUGUAAGAUUCAGCAGACAACUAGAAAGAGGAUCACUCAUUGGAUGAUUGUAAGAUUCAGCAGACUAUAUGAUAAGGUUCAUUAGUUAAACAAAAGGUCACUAUAGUCAUUCAGCAGACUAACAAUACUGGUACAAUAGUUCGUAGUGGUUCGUACAACCUUCUUUCUAUCUGCUCUUUCAAAGUUUGAUUUGACCAUCUCGUAAUACUCUCCAUCACUCAGGGUAAACGAUUUCAUGUAUGGACAUCUCAAUC